GAUGAACGCUGGCGGCAUGCCUAAUACAUGCAAGUCGAGCGAACAGAUGAGGAGCUUGCUCCUCUGACGUGAGCGGCGGACGGGUGAGGAACACGUGGAUGACCUACCUAGAAGACUGGGGUAAGUUCGGGAAACCGGAGCUAAUACCGGAUAAUAUGGUGAACCGCGUGGAUCAUUAGAGAAAGAGGGUUUUGCUGUCACUUGCACAGGGAUCCGCGCCGCAUUAGCUAGUUGGUAAGGUAACGGCGUACCAAGGCUACGAUGCGUAGCCGACCUGAGAGGGUGAUCGGCCACACUGGAACUGAGACACGGUCCAGACUCCUACGGGAGGCAGCAGUAGGGAAUCUUCCGCAAAGGGCGAAAGCCUGACGGAGCAACGCCGCGUGAGUGAUGAAGGUCUUCGGAUCGUAAAGCUCUGUUAUUAGGGAAGAACAAAUGUGUAAGUAACUAUGCACGUCUUGACGGUACCUAAACAGAAAGCCCCGGCUAACUACGUG
rnacentral:rRNA from 1 species